UCUCUGGAGACGAGGGUGGUUGUUCAUUCCGGACAAGCCCCCAAAAGAAAGACCCCUGGAGUGGGGAGACCCUCACUCAUGUCUUGGGAUGAUGAGACCCCCCAGGAACUCACGUGAGACC
rnacentral:pre_miRNA from 14 species